rnacentral:rRNA from 1 species
GACGAACCGAGCGAACGUUAUUCGGAAUCACUGGGCUUAAAGGGCGCGUAGGCGGGCCGUCAAGUCAGGGGUGAAAGCCCCCAGCUCAACUGGGGAAGUGCCUCUGAUACUGGCGGCCUCGAGGGAGGUAGGGGCGUGCGGAACUUCCGGUGGAGCGGCGAAAUGCGUAGAUAUCGGAAGGAACACCGGUGGCGAAAGCGGCGCGCUGGACCUCUUCUGACGCUGAGGCGCGAAAGCCAGGGGAGCGAACGGG